rnacentral:rRNA from 1 species
UACAGAGGGUGCAAGCGUUAAUCGGAAUUACUGGGCGUAAAGCGCACGUAGGCGGUUAGUUAAGUUGGAUGUGAAAGCCCCGGGCUCAACCUGGGAAUUGCAUUUGAAACUGGAAAACUAGAGUGUGUGAGAGGGGGGUAGAAUUCCAAGUGUAGCGGUGAAAUGCGUAGAGAUUUGGAGGAAUACCAGUGGCGAAGGCGGCCCCCUGGCACAACACUGACGCUCAGGUGCGAAAGCGUGGGGAGCAAACAGG